GGUGUCUGUUUUAUCCUUUUAGAUUUAAAGACUAGUUAAUUCAGUUCUUUCUUGCUGUUCAUAUGCACCCUUACACAAGCACCCCGAAAGGCGCCAUUUUUUGCAUCUUAGAGUCAGAGGGUAGAGAAACUGAUUUUACUAUUUUUUAUAUUCAUUGUUUCUUGAACAAUUACUCUUUCUGCAGUACUCCAGAGCAUCAGAAGAGCAU
rnacentral:misc_RNA from 1 species